CCUACGGGGGGCAGCAGUGAGGAAUAUUGGUCAAUGGGCGCGAGCCUGAACCAGCCAAGUCGCGUGAGGGAAGACGGUCCUAUGGAUUGUAAACCUCUUUUGUCGGGGAGCAAAAGACGCCACGCGUGGCGUUCCGUGAGUACCCGAAGAAAAAGCAUCGGCUAACUCGGUGCCAGCAGCCGCGUUAAUACGGAGGAUGCGAGCGUUAUCCGGAUUUAUUGGGUUAAAAGGGUGCGAAGGCGGAAGAUCAAGUCAGCGGUAAAAUUGAGAGGCUCAACCUCUUCGAGCCGUUGAAACUGGUUUUCUUGAGUGAGUGAGAAGUAUGCGGAAUGCGUGGUGUAGCGGUGAAAUGCAUAGAUAUCACGCAGAACUCCGAUUGCGAAGGCAGCAUACCGGCGCUCAACUGACGCUCAUGCACGAAAGUGUGGGUAUCGAACAGGAUUAGAUACCCCGGUAGUC
rnacentral:rRNA from 1 species